rnacentral:rRNA from 1 species
GACGAACGCUGGCGGCGUGCUUAACACAUGCAAGUCGAACGGAAAGGCCCCUUUGGGGGUACUCGAGUGGCGAACGGGUGAGUAACACGUGUGUAACCUGCCCUUGACUUCGGGUUAACUUCAGUAAACUGGGGCUAAUACCUGUUAGGAAUCCUUUCUUCAUGGUUGGGGUUGUUAAGCUUCGGCGGUUUUGGAUGGACUCGCGGCUUAUCAGCUUGUUGGUGGGGUAGUGGCUUACCAAGGCUUUGACGGGUAGCCGGACUGAGAGGGCGACCGGCCACAUUGGGACUGAGAUACGGCCCAGACUCGUACGGGAGGCAGCAGUGGGGAAUAUUGCACAAUGGGAGGAAGCGUGAUGCAGAAAAGCCGCGUGCGGGAUGACGGCCUUCGGGUAGUAAACAGAAUUCAGCAGGGGAGAAGAUUGUGGUGACGGUACCUGAAGAAGAAGCACCGGCUAACUACGU